rnacentral:sRNA from 1 species
UAGGCAGUAAACAUUUGAGAAGUUGACCUAGGCUUUGUUCAUGAAAUGUUCUGUUUUCUUAGAAAAAAUGGUUUUGACCAGGCUGUAUCAGCUGUAAUAAAAGCUACUCAUUAGGUUAUAACAGUAACUAAAUCUAUUCCCUAAUGGUAUUUCCUUACCAUGCUAAACACAUUUGUUUUUUUUUUACUUUACUUCAUGGUAUAACUUAAUGAGUUUUUCUCUGUCACAUGACCUCAUUAUAGAUGGCAUUAAAUGCUUAUUCAUACCUGUAUUUUUCCUUGACUUCUCUAGGGGUCAGGCCCAGCCCCAGGCCCAGUGGUAUUACUGAAUUCACUGAAUGUGGAUGCAGUAUGUGAGAAGCUGAAACAAAUAGAAGGGCUGGACCAGAGUAUGCUGCCUCAGUAUUGUACCACGAUCAAAAAGGCAAACAUAAAUGGCCGUGUGUUAGCUCAGUGUAACAUUGAUGAACUGAAGAAAGAGAUGAAUAUGAAUUUUGGAGACUGGCACCUUUUUAGAAGCACAGUACUAGAAAUGAGAAACGCAGAAAGCCACGUGGUCCCUGAAGACCCACGUUUCCUCAGUGAGAGCAGCAGU